AUAAGAAACAGAGGUAUGCUUCUUUCAUUUCAUCGUCUAUCUAUCCACGACUCCCUCGUCGGAGUUGUACUCCGCCGUGACGUAGGUGGCGGAGUGAUGCCAAAUCAAACACCACCACCACCAAAAUGAACCUCUCGGUGUCCCCUCCCAUAAUCUGUUACUAAUUCACCUUAAAACUCAGUAAAAUUCCCCAAUCUGAACAAAAAAGAGGUGAACCCUAACAUGUAAAAAUCAAAAUUAAAUGGAGAAGAAGCUUCAAUAUGAACUCAAACCUUAGGGGGUUGGUUCAGAUUGAACAAUGAUACAUUGCAAUGACGUGAUUUGAGCAAGAAGAAAAUAAUUCAAGAAUCGACAUGCGAGAUCAUGAUUCAUCCCGGAAAUUGUUGAAAUGAAGAUGAUGAAGAUGAAAUAAGAACACUAGAGGUUCUUAAAAUAGGUAAGAAAAUCGAAUCUGUCUAUGGGAGUGUAAUCUUAUUCUUCUCCUUCUCCUUGCGUAGCCUGUAGGAACGAGAGCACUUGUUGUUGUUGAAUUUGCGUGUGAGAGUGUGAGGAGAUGAGUGCAGAGUUAUUGGAGUUACAUAGAGAGUGAGAAUUUGUGAUUGAUUGUGGAAUGUGAUGAUUGUUUUGUAGAAUAGUUAAAGGUUGAAGAUGAAUGAAUGGAUGAACCGUUUAUAUAGAAGAAAUAUUGUAACAAAAUCGGAUAAUGAAUUAGGGCAUGUUUGUUAGAGUUUGGGCACUGUUAAAGUUGGUUAAUCUUAAUGAAGAAGUUAGUUAGGGGGUUCACUCUGUUAGUAUAAGUUGUUAAUUGACAGUUAAUGAGUUUGAAAUUAGUUUUAGAGAGUUGUUAGUGAAUGUUAGUAUUGAUUAGGUUAGGAUGUUAGUGAGUUGAGACUUGUCAGUUAGUAGUUUGAAGUGAGUUUUGAGGUUAACUAAUUUGUUGAGUUAGUUGUUGAUACUUUACUUUCACAAUCUACAAUCUCAAACCUUCUUAACAGAGGCACAAAAAUGUCUAUGGUUGUGGAAUAAUCUAUUAUCGAAGCUAGGUACCUGAUAGCACCCUUUAAUGAAAUGCAUGUUUCAGGAAGUGAAAUGAUAAAUAAUUCAGAUAAAAUAUGAAGCAGAUGAUUUGAAUGUAAUAUUAAGGCCUUUGUGUUUAUGGUAGCAACUUUCUUUGAAUAAACACGACGCAUUUUAAUUGUUCUUUGCUCGAAUAGGUGUUAUUAUAUAAAAAUUACUUGCAAAAGGAGAGAAAAAAAGGUUAAUAAUUAGUGUGCUCGUCAAAGAUUCAGACCUUCAUGCCUACAUAUCCUCAUAGUACAAUGAGGAAAUCAGAGCUAUGUAGUUCGUGGAACUAAUGGUGGGAGGUAAAAAAAAGAAAGUGAUUGAGGUGGUGUUUAAAUAAAAAUAAGGGAUAAAGGUGUUUAGAUAAAAAAAAAGGGUAAUAGAAAUUAUAAGAGUAGAAAUAAUAGGAGUGGUGUUUAAACCAACUGGGAAGUAGAAAUGGUGUUUAAACCAAACAGGAAAUAUAAGUGUUAAAGUGGUGUUUAAACCGAAGCAAGAGAUAUAAAUUAUGUUUAAAUCGGGGGUAAAUGAAAAUGGUGUUUAAACCAAAGGAAUGAAUAAGGGUGGUGUUUAAAUCGAAAGAGAAAUGGAAAUGGUGUUUAAACCGGGUAAUGGUGUUUAAACCAAAGGGUGGACGAAAGUGUGACUAGUGAACAAUGGGAUAAAAGGAAUGAAUAAAUAAAUGUGAUGUGAAAGAAGAAUUAUUAAUUAAUGUGUUCGCAUAGGAUUUGAGUCCUCGUGCCUACGUAUUCUCACAGUGCAAUGAGAAAGUCAGAGCUCCGUAGUCUGGGGAACUAAGACACACAAAGAAAAGAAGAUUUGAUAUAUUUGGUGUUUAUGGUGUUUGAACCAAAGCAUAAGGUAAAUUGAAAUUGAUUAAAGUGAAAAAAUGGAGUAAAGUGAUAUAGAACUGAUUGGGGGGGGGGGGGUGUUAGGCGGGAAUUUCGACAUCAAGUUGGAGGUGAUAAACCAAGGAAAAAGAAUGCUCUUUGGAGUUAUCUAUGAUUUCGACACAAAGCAUUCAUGAUGUGAGGAAGUGUCGAAGUUUGCCUUCUAUAAGGGAAGACGAAUAUGAAACUUAGGAAUAAUCCCAAAUUCAAAAUAUCACUUUGACGGAAGAGUUUGUUUGACGUAUAUUUGAAUUUGAAUGAAAAAAGAGUAACCACAUUUUAUUCUUAUCCACUUUUGAUAGAAAAGAUGCGUGGAAUGUUGUCCUGAAUCGCAGACAUGCCGAGUGUAACGUGUCAGUGCCUAGGAGAAGAUCCAUUGGCGAGGGUUAUUUCAAUUUAGUAUAAAUAGGUGUCCUAGUGUUAGGAUUAAGGGUGUUCAAAUUGUUGUACAAUCAAUCACAUUUACUCAAAGUAUCCAGCGUGUUGACAAACGAGUAUAAUUGAGAAUGUAUGUUUGAUAACACCAUUAUAUUUAUAUCAAUCAAAGUUUAUUUACACCUUUCUGUUCAGCAAUUAUCCUUUAUUUCCAGUCACUUAUCAAGCAUUGUUUUACACUUUACUUACAUUUCCGCCAUUUAUCUUCUUAUAAACGCUUUAAGCAAACAUUCCUUACUCAAGAAUACUGUCGAAGUGUUCAUCUUUUAUACACAAUUUUAGAAUAACAACACAUGUUCUAGGAUCAAUAUGGUUGAUCCUGUGAGCAACCAAAGUUUCUAUAAUUUGGAAGACCAACGGUUGUUUACCAAUUUUCACGGUAAACGGGGGGUAAAAAGGUGUGUGAACCGGAUGAUGGUGUUUGAACCAAAAGAAAACUUUGAAGUAUAAGGAAAUUUGUCUGUCGUGGUGUUUAAACAAGAUAAUGACUAGAUUGUGGUGUUUGAACCAAAGGAGUUAUGAUUGUAGUGUUUAAACCAAAGGUUAUGAUAAUGUGGUGUUUGAACCAAGGGAAUAAUGUUUAAACCAACGGAAGGGCUAAAAGUGGUGUCUAAACCUAAGGGUUUGUGUUUGAACUGGAUCAUGGUGUUUAAACCAAAAGGUGAAGGAUAAUGGUGUUUAAACCAGAUGGUGGUGUUUAAACCAUAUGGUUGGUGUUUAAACCGAAUGGUUGGUCUUUCAAUAGAAUGGUGAUGUUUAAAACAUAUGGUUGGUGUUUAAACUAGAUAGUUGGUGUUUAAACUGGAUGGUGGUGUUUAAACCUGAAAAAAUGGCGUUUAAGUCAAGCCAAUGGUGUUUAAACCUAAAAAGUGGUGUUUAAACUGAAAGGUUGGUGUCUAAAUCGAAAAAGUGGUGUUUAAACCAAAAGAUUGAUGUUUAAACAUGAAAAGAGGUUUAUGCCAAUGCAAUGGUAAUGGUGCUCAACCAAAGCAGGGGUAAUGGUGUUUAAACCGAGCACAGUUGUUCAAACUGAAGCAAUGCAAUGAUGUUUAAACCAACAAAGGUAGUUGAAUAUGGUUUUUGAGCUGAGAGGAUGUGCUGGUGUUUAAACCUAAAGAAGGUAACUGGAGAUAGGGGUAAACUUGAAGUAAUAGUGUUUAAACUCGAGGAAGGUAAUUGAAGUAGUGUGUUUAAACUGAAAGUAAUGGUGUUUGAACCAAUAAAGUGAUUAGAGACAAUGUUUGAACUAAAAGGAUGGUAAUUAGACCAAAGGGUGAUCGAGGAUAAUGUUUAACCUGGAUGGGACACAAAAGAUUGGAUAAAAAAAGUUGCUUGAAUAACAUUGAAUAAUUGAGGUGUUUGCAUGAAGAAGACUUGUUAAUUACUGGAUUCGAAUCGCACUAAAGUCUAUGAAUAGAGGUGAAUACUCUGAGCAACUGGGUCAUUCGUACCGUACCCAAAUAUAUUUAGGAUAAGGAUAAGAAUGCUCUCUCUCACCCCUUCUCUAUUGCUUAAGGCUCGUGACGUGUAAUUUUAAUCAUAACUAACAAGUUGUUGAAGAAGAUUCUUGCCUGUGGAUCUUGAUGAUGUAGUGUUGCUUGUUGUAGGAGGAGACUUGAAAAUCAUUUGAUUCAAAUUGUACUAAAGUCUAUGAAUAAAGGUGAAUACUUUGAGCAACUGGGUCAUUCGUCCCGUACCCAAAGAUAUUAAUAAUAAGGAUAAGAAUGCUUCAUCUCACUCUUUCUUUAUUGCUUAAGGCUCAUGGAACACAGUUUGAAUCAUGGUUGACAAGUGUUGAUACACCUUUGUCGUGCUUGAACUGUAGUCCAGUCUGUCUGCAAUGUGGAUGCCUUAUAUUGACUUUGAAGUCUUGAAUUUGAAUCUUGAGGUCUUGAGCUCUUGAGGUCCAUUACAAGUUGAACAUAAGGAACACGCCCUAUCAAAUGAUAAAUGGUCUCUUGAUCACUUGAAUAGACUUGAACAAUUGAGUGCAGUGUAAAAGAUUUGGUUGAUCAAAGUAACCUUUGAUCAACACAAUCAGUGAGAAUGAAACAUAAAUCAAUUGAAUCAUAUACACAACCUAAUGAUUAUCUCUAAUGGUCACAUGAUAAAAAAAAGCUAACAAAAGAUUAAUUGUUCAUGUACAAAAAACCAGAAAUGAAAAUUAAAUCAGAAAGUCAAUUAAACAUAACUAAGAGAAAUUAAAUGAACCAAUUGAAAUUAAAUUAAUAAAAUGAAGGAGGGGAGGGUGCAAGCAAUAAGAGAGGUGUGUAUAACAGAAGUUGGACCUCAGGCCUAAACCCUGCCAAGCCUCAAACGAUUGAAGCCAAGGAAUAGAGUCUAAACGAAUCUGAAAACAACAAUGCAGCGCCAAGAACCAGGUGACACGGUGCAAACGUAACACACAAGCCUCCAUUUUUUCAAAACUCACUUCUUCUCCAUCAAGCACGAAAUUGAGACGAAAAAUGUGAAGAACACGACUUUGAAAUCAAAUCAAUCUCCGAAAUCAACAUCAACAUUAAAUUCAAUUUAUCACUGUGCGUGCGCGGAAUCGAAAUCAAAAUCGAAGCGUGAAAACUAACCCAAUUGGAGUUUUGACGCAACCAGGGUGUAAUGGAAUGGUUAAGUUAAUGAGUACUGGAAAUCGUUUUGCAGGGCGUAAUUGAAAUUGGCUUGUGGAACUCAUUGACUGCAUUUGGCAAUUGUCUUGAAGAGUGGAAUUUGGAAGGUGUUUGGAUGAUAUGCCAUGGAAUGCUAUGUUUGAAAUCGAGAUUGUAUUGGCUUGAAACUAGUAAUCUGGUUGAAUGAAAAUGAUUGGAUGGUUGAAUAAAUUUUUUGAAUAGUGGAAUGUGAAUUGAAGAUGAAUGUUGGCUUGGUGGUUGUAAUGAUUGAAUAUUUGGAAAUUGGAUUAGUUGUUGGAAUGGAACUGUGAAUAAUUCAUGUUUGGAAUGGAUUUGGAUUGUUGAAAUUGUAUUGUAAUUGUUUGAAUGAAGAUGGAUAUUGUAAUGAAAUUGUAUUUUGAAUGGAA